rnacentral:rRNA from 1 species
AGUGAACGCUGGCGAUAGGCCUAACACAUGCAAGUCGAACGGCAGCACAGUAAGAGCUUGCUCUUACGGGUGGCGAGUGGCGGGCGGGUGAGGAAUACAUCGGAAUCUACUUUUUCGUGGGGGAUAACGUAGGGAAACUUACGCUAAUACCGCAUACGACCUACGGGUGAAAGCAGGGGAUCUUCGGACCUUGCGCGAUUGAAUGAGCCGAUGUCGGAUUAGCUAGUUGGCGGGGUAAAGGCCCACCAAGGCGACGAUCCGUAGCUGGUCUGAGAGGAUGAUCAGCCACACUGGAACUGAGACACGGUCCAGACUCCUACGGGAGGCAGCAGUGGGGAAUAUUGGACAAUGGGCGCAAGCCUGAUCCAGCCAUACCGCGUGGGUGAAGAAGGCCUUCGGGUUGUAAAGCCCUUUUGUUGGGAAAGAAAAGCAGCAGGUUAAUACCCCGCUGUUCUGACGGUACCCAAAGAAUAAGCACCGGCUAACCUCGUG